UUAAUUUUGUGUUGAAGUUGGGCUCUGUUCCUUGGGUAGAAAGAGGAUUCUCCCAAGCUUCAGGUUUAUCAUGCUCCUGUUUGAAGAGCUAGUUCUGUGGGUUUGUACUAUUGUGGUAGUGCUUGGCCUCACCCUAAGACUGUGACCCAGAACCUGAUAUCAGCAAUGUAACCUGCAACCAGUGCCAGCAAAAGAUCCCCUGUAAUCUCCUCCCAAGCAGUUGUCUGACUCCCUUACCAUCUAUGGGCUGAGAUCCCUGGAAACUACAGCUGUCAAUUCAGUAGCCCCUUAGGUCUGUGGCUGGCUCUCAGGGGUGUCCUGCACUCCACUCUCACUCUAGUGAGACAGACCUUUCCUUCUCACCUUCUAAGUUUCCUUGAGCUAAAAAAGGUGUAUCAUCUCA